rnacentral:rRNA from 1 species
UACGGAGGGGGCGAGCGUUAUUCGGAAUUAUUGGGCGUAAAGGGCGCGUAGGCGGCCCGGUAAGUCAAAGGUGAAAUCCCUCGGCUCAACUGAGGUACUGCCUUUGAAACUGUCGGGCUUGAGGCCGGGAGGGGUAGCGGAAUUCCCAGUGUAGCGGUGAAAUGCGUAGAUAUUGGGAGGAACACCAGUGGCGAAAGGCGGCUACCUGGACCGGUUCUGACGCUGAUGACGCGAAAGCGUGGGUAGCAAACAGG